UACGUAGGUGGCAAGCGUUGUCCGGAUUUACUGGGUGUAAAGGGCGUGCAGCCGGGCCGACAAGUCAGAUGUGAAAUCCGCGGGCUUAACCCGCGAACUGCAUUUGAAACUAUUGGUCUUGAGUACCGGAGAGGUCAUCGGAAUUCCUUGUGUAGCGGUGAAAUGCGUAGAUAUAAGGAAGAACACCAGUGGCGAAGGCGGAUGACUGGACGGCAACUGACGGCGAGGCGCGAAAGCGUGGGGAGCAAACAGG
rnacentral:rRNA from 1 species